rnacentral:lncRNA from 1 species
UGGAUUUUGUGACCUCACAUAAAAUAAUUUCGAAACAAUGACUAAUUUUUUUUACGAAUGCAGUUUCAAAGGAGACUCUUAAAUGUUUCCUCACCAAAAAUAUUUACACUUAUUUAGAGUAUCUGUACUCCAAAUUUUGAAUUCAAAUGGCUACUGUUAGCUUCAUACUUCUUCCCAUGAUUCUUUCUGUUCUUUCUAUUGUAAGUGAUCUUCUGUCAACUUCUUUAACAAAGGCUCCUUCUUUAUAGUAACUGCAUUUUCUAUUUUAAAUGCAGCUUUUUGCCACAGAAGCCACAUCAGACUGGCUCAACGCCAACAAUGUUCCUGCCACCCCAGUGGCUUGGCCAUCUCAGGAAGGACAGAAUCCCAGCCUCUCUUCCAUCAGAAAGUUGAUAAGAGACGGAAGCAUUGACCUAGUGAUUAACCUCCCCAAUAACAACACCAAAUUUGUCCAUGAUAAUUAUGUGAUUCGGAGGACAGCUGUGGACAGUGGAAUUGCUCUGCUCACCAAUUUCCAGGUG